CAAUGGCGUAUAUUUAAGUUGUUGCAGUUAAAAAGCUCGUAGUUGGAUUUCGGGUGGGACGCAGCGGUCUCGCAUUGCGUUUGUACUGCUGCAGCCCUCCUUCUUGCCGGGGGCGGCCUCUCGGACUUCACUGUCUGGGGGUCAGAAUCGGCGAUGUUACUUUGAGUAAAUUAGAGUGUUCAAAGCAAGCUUACGCUCUGAAUAUAAUAGCAUGGGAUAACACGACAGGACUCUGGCCUAUCGUGUUGGUCUAUAGGACCAGAGUAAUGAUUAAGAGGGACAGUCGGGGGCAUUCGUAUUCCGUUGUCAGAGGUGAAAUUCUUGGAUUUACGGAAGACGAACAUCUGCGAAAGCAUUUGCCAAGGAUGUUUNCAUUGA
rnacentral:rRNA from 1 species